rnacentral:rRNA from 1 species
GACGAACGCUGGCGGCGUGCUUAACACAUGCAAGUCGAACGGAAAGGCCCUGCUUUUGUGGGGUGCUCGAGUGGCGAACGGGUGAGUAACACGUGAGUAACCUGCCCUUGACUUUGGGAUAACUUCAGGAAACUGGGGCUAAUACCGGAUAGGAGCUCCUGCUGCAUGGUGGGGGUUGGAAAGUUUCGGCGGUUGGGGAUGGACUCGCGGCUUAUCAGCUUGUUGGUGGGGUAGUGGCUUACCAAGGCUUUGACGGGUAGCCGGCCUGAGAGGGUGACCGGCCACAUGGGGACUGAGAUACGGCCCAGACUCCUACGGGAGGCAGCAGGGGGGAAUAUUGCACAAUGGGCGGAAGCCUGAUGCAGCAACGCCGCGUGCGGGAUGACGGCCUUCGGGUUGUAAACCGCUUUCGCCUGUGACGAAGCGUGAGUGACGGUAAUGGGUAAAGAAGCACCGGCGAACUACGU